UUGAGUACAGUAGAGGUGGGCGGAAUUCGUGGUGUAGCGGUGAAAUGCUUAGAUAUCACGAAGAACUCCGAUUGCGAAGGCAGCUCACUAGACUGUCACUGACACUGAUGCUCGAAAGUGUGGGUAUCAAACAGGAUUAGAUACCCUGGUAGUCCACACAGUAAACGAUGAAUACUCGCUGUUUGCGAUAUACAGUAAGCGGCCAAGCGAAAGCAUUAAGUAUUCCACCUGGGGAGUACGCCGGCAACGGUGAAACUCAAAGGAAUUGACGGGGGCCCGCACAAGCGGAGGAACAUGUGGUUUAAUUCGAUGAUACGCGAGGAACCUUACCCGGGCUUAAAUUGCAAAUGAAUAAUCUGGAAACAGGUUAGCCGCAAGGCAUUUGUGAAGGUGCUGCAUGGUUGUCGUCAGCUCGUGCCGUGAGGUGUCGGCUUAAGUGUCAUAACGAGCGCAACCCUUAUCUUUAGUUACUAACAGGUUAUGCUGAGGACUCUAGAGAGACUGCCGUCGUAAGAUGUGAGGAAGGUGGGGAUGACGUCAAAUCAGCACGGCCCUUACGUCCGGGGCUACACACGUGUUACAAUGGGGGGUACAGAAGGCAGCUACCUGGUGACAGGAUGCUAAUCCCAAAAACCUCUCUCAGUUCGGAUCGAAGUCUGCAACCCGACUUCGUGAAGCUGGAUUCGCUAGUAAUCGCGCAUCAGCCAUGGCGCGGUGAAUACGUUCCCGGGCCUUGUACACACCGCCCGUCAAGCCAUGAAAGCCGGGGGUACCUGAAGUACGUAACCGCAAGGAGCGUCCUAGGGUAAA
rnacentral:rRNA from 1 species